CCUACGGGAGGCAGCAGUGGGGGAUAUUGCACAAUGGGGGAAACCCUGAUGCAGCGACGCCGCGUGGAGGAAGAAGGUUUUCGGAUUGUAAACUCCUGUCGUUAGGGACGAUAAUGACGGUACCUAACAAGAAAGCACCGGCUAACUACGUGCCAGCAGCCGCGGUAAAACGUAGGGUGCAAGCGUUGUCCGGAAUUACUGGGUGUAAAGGGAGCGCAGGCGGACCGGCAAGUUGGAAGUGAAAACUAUGGGCUCAACCCAUAAAUUGCUUUCAAAACUGCUGGCCUUGAGUAGUGCAGAGGUAGGUGGAAUUCCCGGUGUAGCGGUGGAAUGCGUAGAUAUCGGGAGGAACACCAGUGGCGAAGGCGACCUACUGGGCACCAACUGACGCUGAGGCUCGAAAGCAUGGGUAGCAAACAGGAUUAGAUACCCCUGUAGUC
rnacentral:rRNA from 1 species